AGCUCAGUUGGUAGAGCAGUUGGCUUUUAACCAAUUGGUCGAAGGUUCGAAUCCUUCA
rnacentral:tRNA from 1 species